UUUGUAGAGCAGAAACAAAAUGGACUAUUCAAAAGCCUUUUCAAAGAGGUUUUAGUUUUGGGUAAAAUGAAUUAAGCACAUCUCACCCAGCCCCUUCCACUGAAUGAAGCUGAAAAACCUGGACAGAAAACAUAGAAGCCUCUGAAAAAUAAACAGUAGCAGGUGUAUUGGAGAAGAAGACCCAAGUUCAAUAGACCACUGAACCAGUGGUGAUGUUAUGCUUUUUUUCCCUUUAAUCUCCUCUGACCGGAACUGAAACCAGACUUGCAAUCUCUGAAAUCUAAACUGUGGAAUAGGCCACUGCCCAAAUCCCAUACUGAGCACUUGGUGGUGCACAUGCAAGAAAAAUCGGAGUAGCACUGCAGAGAUUUUUAACAACUGAACUGACAUGGAAACACAGUUCACAGAAGGCUAGCUGGAACUUGUAGUCUGAAUCCACCUGGUUCUAUUGUCUGCUAAAAUUAAAACAUUAACGUUAUCUAUAGGAUUUAACCAAAAUCCAAAGUCCCAUAA
rnacentral:lncRNA from 1 species